rnacentral:rRNA from 1 species
GGAUUAGAUACCCUGGUAGUCCACGCCGUAAACGAUGUCGACUAGCCGUUGGGCUCCUUGAGAGCUUUGUGGCGCAGUUAACGCGAUAAGUCGACCGCCUGGGGAGUACGGCCGCAAGGUUAAAACUCAAAUGAAUUGACGGGGGCCCGCACAAGCGGUGGAGCAUGUGGUUUAAUUCGAUGCAACGCGAAGAACCUUACCUACCCUUGACAUCGAGAGAACUUUCCAGAGAUGGAUUGGUGCCUUCGGGAACUCUCAGACAGGUGCUGCAUGGCUGUCGUCAGCUCGUGCCG